GGGCUUGUGGCCUAAUGGAUAAGGCGUCAGACUUGGGACCCGAAGAUUGCAGGUCCGAGUCCUGCCAGAGUCCA
rfam:Angiostrongylus cantonensis strain Taiwan genome assembly, scaffold: ACAC_scaffold0002398